AUUGAACGCUGGCGGCAGGCCUAACACAUGCAAGUCGAGCGGAGCGGCGGACGGGUGAGUAAUUCCUAGGAAUCUGCCUGGUCGUGGGGGAUAACGUCCGGAAACGGGAGCUAAUACCGCAUACUAUUAGAUGAGCCUAGGUGGGAUUAGCCAGUUGGGUGGGUAAAGGCCUACCAAGGCGACGAUCCGUAACUGGUCUGAGAGGAUGAUCAGGCACACUGGAACUGAGACACUGUCCAGACUCCUACGGGAGGCAGCAGUGGGGAAUAUUGGACAAUGGGCGAAAGCCUGAUCCAGCCAUGCCGCGUGUUUGAAGAAGGUCUUCGGAUUGUAAAGCACUUUAAGUUGUGAGGCGUUACCAACAGAAUAAGCACCGGCUAACUUCGUGCCAGCAGCCGCGGUAAUUC
rnacentral:rRNA from 1 species